CGCCGCGCCACUCUGCCGGCGGCGUCUGUUGCUGAGGGUUGUGUGUUGGGCCGCUGCUGUUCGCCUGUGUUAACGGUCGUUCCCAGCCCCGUGGAGGCCAGCAGGCGAAGCAAGGAGGUACCGCCUGACUUCCUACACACGGCGGGACGCGCUGCAAUCAGCACUGGUUACGGGGCACAGGUAAGAAUGAUGCCUCCCUCCUUCCACCAGUUGCGUCGACACCUGCCUGUGAAUGUUGCAUUAGUUCUGCCACUUCCUGUUGUGUCCUGGCAGCCGUCAUUCAGUCUCCGGAAUAGUUUAGCCAUUACAAGAUAACCGUAAGUUGAUUCAGACGAAAACGAUGUACAUAGUAGCCUAACCCCACCCUCCCACACCAAACCUAUAAUAUAUACUGUACUUAAUUGUUCCUUGUCGUAACCAGGAAAAUCCUUUAAGCACGGCAUUGAGUAUGUUAGGUGUG